AGCAGCCGCGGUAAUUCCAGCUCCAAUAGCGUAUAUUAAAGUUGUUGCAGUUAAAAAGCUCGUAGUUGAAUUUCGGGAUCGAAUUGUUGGUCGUGCUUCGGUACGCACUGGCAUUAUCGGUUUCUACCUUCUGAAGAACCGCGAUGUCAUUAAUUUGGUGUCGCGGGGAAUCAGGACUGUUACUUUGAAAAAAUUAGAGUGUUUAAAGCAGGCUUACGCUUGAAUACAUUAGCAUGGAAUAAUGAAAUAGGACGUUUGAUUCUAUUUUGUUGGUUUCUAGGAUCGACGUAAUGAUUAAUAGGGAUAGUUGGGGGCAUUAGUAUUCAAUUGUCAGAGGUGAAAUUCUUGGAUUUAUUGAAGACUAACUACUGCGAAAGCAUUUGCCAAGGAUGUUUUCAUUAAUCAAGGACGAAGGUUAGGGGAUCGAAGACGAUCAGAUACCGUCGUAGUCUUAACCAUAAACUAUGCCGACUAGGGAUCGGAUGAUGUUAAUUUUUUAAUGACUC
rnacentral:rRNA from 1 species